UACGUAGGGUGCAAGCGUUAAUCGGAAUUACUGGGCGUAAAGCGUGCGCAGGCGGUAAUGUAAGACAGAUGUGAAAUCCCCGGGCUCAACCUGGGAACUGCAUUUGUGACUGCACAGCUGGAGUGCGGCAGAGGGGGAUGGAAUUCCGCGUGUAGCAGUGAAAUGCGUAGAUAUGCGGAGGAACACCGAUGGCGAAGGCAAUCCCCUGGGCCUGCACUGACGCUCAUGCACGAAAGCGUGGGGAGCAAACAGG
rnacentral:rRNA from 1 species